rnacentral:lncRNA from 1 species
CGCCCCUGGGUGCUGAUCUCCGCCCCCCCUUCCCGCAGGAGUGGGGCUGGAUUCCCCGACGCAGGAGGACCCCGAGGUGCUUGAAGAAGUCUUCGAGAAAGCGAUCCUGGAGUCCGGGAGAGUUGUCAAAGACAAUAAGUUCCCCAUCCGGAGGAUCCAGUCCCUGCCGGUGAGUCCCGGGACUGUGCAGAGCGGAGCCGGUGGGAUGCUGUGUCCGACCUGCUGCCGGGAGCCAGGACUUGAGGGGGGGGGGGGCUGCAUCCUGCUCUGCUAAUGACCCCUGGCUGGGCUGCGGUGAGGAGGAGGAGGAUGGAGCAGGGCAGCGUGGAGCUGGGGCAGGCGAGGAGGAGGAGGAUGGAGUGGGGCAGCGUGGAGCCGGGGCGGAGGAGGAGGAUGGAG